rnacentral:rRNA from 1 species
GGCAUGGAGCACUCUGACCAGCCAUGCCGCGUGCAGGAAGACNGCCCUAUGGGUUGUAAACUGCUUUUAUAGAGGAAGAAACCCCACCACGUGUGGUGGGCUGACGGUACUCUACGAAUAAGGACCGGCUAACUCCGUGCCAGCAGCCGCGGUAAUACGGAGGGUCCAAGCGUUAUCCGGAAUCAUUGGGUUUAAAGGGUCCGUAGGCGGGCAAUUAAGUCAGAGGUGAAAUCCCACAGCUCAACUGUGGAACUGCCUUAGAUACUGGUUGUCUUGAGUUAUAUUGAAGUGAGUAGAAUAUGUAGUGUAGCGGUGAAAUGCUUAAAUAUUACAUAGAAUACCAU